rnacentral:rRNA from 1 species
GACGAACGCUGGCGGCGUGCUUAACACAUGCAAGUCGAACGAGAAGAGAUGAGAAGCUUGCUUCUUAUUGAUUCGAGUGGCAAACGGGUGAGUAACGCGUAAGCAACCUGCCCUUCAGAUGGGGACAACAGCUGGAAACGGCUGCUAAUACCGAAUGCGUUCUUUUUGUCGCAUGGCAGAGAGAAGAAAGGGAGGCUCUUCGGAGCUUUCGCUGAAGGAGGGGCUUGCGUCUGAUUAGCUAGUUGGAGGGGUAACGGCCCACCAAGGCGACGAUCAGUAGCCGGUCUGAGAGGAUGAACGGCCACAUUGGGACUGAGACACGGCCCAGACUCCUACGGGAGGCAGCAGUGGGAAUCUUCCGCAAUGGACGAAAGUCUGACGGAGCAACGCCGCGUGAACGAUGACGGCC